ACUAUUAACAAAACAUCCCCUUUUUCUUCGCUCUUCUGGAACCGGUAUAGAAAUGAGUGCUUUUUUUCGUUGUUUACCUUAGUUACCAGGGGGUUUGGGGGAAGACCUAUGUGGGGCACCUUUUGGGUGUGGGAUGCUCGUUUAACCUUUGUAUUCAUCUCACUUUUUAUUUACCUGGGUGCAUUGCGUUUUCAAAAGCUUCCUGUCGAACUAGCGCUGCCGCGAGAGUAAAAACUAGAAACCCCGUCGCGAGAGUAGAAACUAGAAACCCUAGCAUCGGUCAUUCAUCUCCGUUUACCACCGGAUAAUCAUUUGCUCCUCGCUGUCUACUACUACGAAUAUGAUUUGCUUGUCUCCUUCUAACACCGCGAAGAACAGAUUAAUGUCUCUAGGUCGUUGGAGAAGCACAACGUGCGAAUUGAAUUCAACUCAAGAAUUGUACAAGAACUUGAUCUUUCACUGGGGUUUUGUCUUCAACGGGAAUAAGUAAAAAGAUUCUAAAAUCGUUUUUGUCCAUGAAUUGAAUUUCAACUCAAGAAUUGUACAAGAACUUGGAUCCUUCACUGGGUUUUUGUCUUCAAUGUGCAAUUUUUAUUUUUUUCUUAGCAAAAUCACCCGGUGUGCAUAGGUGGUGAAUUAAUAAAUUAUAUGCGGAUGCGGAAUUUCCCCCAAGAGAAGACGGAGAAGAGAGAUUAUCUGCAGGUUCAGCGAAGAUGCCUUUCAUGUCCCCCUGCAAGGAGGUAGCGUUAAGGUUCAAUAUUGCCAUAGUGCUGACACACCGUUGCAAAAUAGAAAGGGAACUAAGGCUGCUUGGAAUACUAGUUUGGAUCAGGUCAUGGCAUUGGCAUGUAGGCAUCUCGCAUGGAAUAAGAAUUUUAAUUUGCAGGACUAUCUCCAUUUGAAAUCCCAUUAUCAAUUUACUAAAGUGAUAUUAAAAAUAAUUGUGUGCAUAAUAGAUAAAACCAUUCAAGGUAUAGUAGUUUUCAGUUUUGUAGGUCUGGGAUUCAAAAUGGAAUGAACGACUUUUCUCAGCUGCCAAAAGUCCAAGUUGAAUCAUGAGAACAUAUGCAUGGCUGUAUUAAUUCAAGAAGUAAUUUGCGGUGAUUAUGCAUUUGUGAGUCAUAAAAAAAUCCCUUGACAGGGGAUGCUACAGAGAUAUAUGCUGAGAUAAAGGGUUGGGAGAGACUCUGGUUGGGGCAUAUCCAGGAAUGAACAUCAUUGUGAAAAAAAAAAAAAAAAAAAACCUAAAAUCCCCGAAGUGUAAUUAUGGACAAGGUGGAGAAAGUUGUGUUAGACUACUCCAAGGAUCCAAUUAUUGCUGAUAAAUCAUUCCGAACCUCACUCUUCUCUAGAAUUGCAGAGGCAGGAAAAAUCUUAGAGGACCUUUAUGGUUGCCUUCAAGACAUUGAAGGAGUGGUCAAAGAUGGACAAUAUUUGUAGUUCAGGCAAGACCACAGAUUUAAUAUCAUGAAAUAUUGCCCAAGACUAAACUAAAAUAGAAUUGAAUCUGUUGAUAUAUGAUAUAUAUCGGCUCAGGCAUGCUACCUUAAGUUAGAUUUGCAUUACAAAGAUGAAUUUAACCUCUUAUUACACAAGUUUCCCCCCCCUGUUAAACUCUUAUUAUACGAGUUAAACAGGACAAUGAGAUAUUAUUGGCCUGGCACAAUUUUUUUUUUGUUCAAUAAGCUUUUGUGGAUU